rnacentral:rRNA from 1 species
GAUGAACGCUAGCGGCAGGCCUAAUACAUGCAAGUCGAACGGUGUCUUCGGACAUAGUGGCGCACGGGUGCGUAACACGUAUGCAACCUACCUUACAUUGGGGGAUAGCCUUUCGAAAGGGAGAUUAAUACCGCAUAAGACAGUAGCUGGGCAUCCAGCAGCUGUUAAAGAUUUAUCGAUGUAAGCUGGGCAUGCGUCCAAUUAGGUAGUUGGUGAGGCAACGGCUCACCAAGGCAAUGAUUGGUAGGGGAACUGAGAGGUCAAUCCCCCACACUGGCACUGAGAUACGGGCCAGACUCCUACGGGAGGCAGCAGUAGGGAAUAUUGGGCAAUGGACGCAAGUCUGACCCAGCCAUGCCGCGUGCAGGAUGAAGGCGUUAUGCGUUGUAAACUGCUUUUAUACAGGAAGAAACGACUCUUGCGAGAGGCAUUGACGGUACUGUAUGAAUAAGCACCGGCUAACUCCGUGCCAGCAGCCGCCGUAAUAC